rnacentral:rRNA from 1 species
ACUCUGGUGGAGGCUCGUAGCGAUUCUGACGUGCAAAUCGAUCGUCAAAUUUGGGUAUAGGGGCGAAAGACUAAUCGAACCAUCUAGUAGCUGGUUCCCUCCGAAGUUUCCCACAGGAUAGCUUGAACGCAACGGUUUUGUCAGGUAAAGCGAAUGAUUAGAGGCCUUGGGGCUGAAACAGCCUUAACCUAUUCUCAAACUUUAAAUAUGUAAGACGACCUGUUUGCUUAAUUGAAGCAGGUCAUUGAAUGUGAGUUUUUAGUGGGCCAUUUUUGGUAAGCAGAACUGGCGAUGCGGGAUGAACCGAACGCCGCGCUAAGGUACCCAAGUGUCCGCUCAUCAGAGACCACAAAAGGCGUUGGUACCUCCAGACAGCAGGACGGUGGCCAUGGAAGUCGGAAUCCGCUAAGGAGUGUGUUACAACUCACCUGCCGAAUGAACUAGUCCCGAAAAUGGAUGGCGCUCAAGCGUGUGACCGAUACCCGACCAUUGGCGCGAGAGUUAGGCGUCAAUGAGUAGGAGGGCGUGGGCGUCGUUGUGAAGCCUCUGGCGUGAGCCUGGGUAGAACGGCGUCUAGUGCAGAUCUUGGUGGUAGUAGCAAUUAUUCAAGUGAGAAUCUUGAAGGCCGACGUGGAGAAGGUUUCCGUGAGAACAGCAAUUGGUCACGGGUGACUCGAUCCUAAGACAUGGGGGAAAUCCUUGUUAAG